rnacentral:rRNA from 1 species
UAGUACCGAAGUUCCUGAUGUCACACUGCCGAGAAAAGCUUCUAGUGAGAAAACAGCGGCCCGUACCGCAAACCGACACAGGUAGUCGAGGAGAGAAUCCUAAGGUGAGCGAGAGAACUCUCGUUAAGGAACUCGGCAAAAUGACCCCGUAACUUCGGGAGAAGGGGUGCUGAUCAUACGAUCAGCCGCAGUGAAUAGGCCCAAGCGACUGUUUAUCAAAAACACAGGUCUCUGCAAAAUCGUAAGAUGAAGUAUAGGGGCUGACGCCUGCCCGGUGCUGGAAGGUUAAGAGGAGUGCUUAGCGCAAGCGAAGGUACGAAUUGAAGCCCCAGUAAACGGCGGCCGUAACUAUAACGGUCCUAAGGUAGCGAAAUUCCUUGUCGGGUAAGUUCCGACCCGCACGAAAGGCGUAACGAUUUGGGCACUGUCUCAACGAGAGACUCGGUGAAAUUUUAGUACCUGUGAAGAUGCAGGUUACCCGCGACAGGACGGAAAGACCCCAUGGAGCUUUACUGUAGUUUGAUAUUGAGUGUCUGUACCGCAUGUACAGGAUAGGUAGGAGCCGUAGAAAUCGGAACGCUAGUUUCGAUGGAGGCGCUGGUGGGAUACUACCCCUGCGUUAUG